CUGGCACUGGGGACUAAAUGUGUAAAGGGGUGUUAAAAAACAUACAAACACAGAUCUUAUGGCAAACUUUUCUCCAUAUGAUGUAUGAAUUAUAAUGGAUGACUGUUGUUAAAACAUAGGUGAAUUGUUCAGCCAUGGAGUCAUGUUUGUGCUUGUAAUGGCUGCAGGGAAUCCUGACCUAGUGGGAUGCCAGUUCAAGUUUCACGAAAAAAAAAAAAAAACAACAACUGUGGACCAAGUUAAAAAAGUUGGCUUCAAUGUCGGACCCUGCAGAGCCAAACCGAGUGCUUGAUCUUCGCUGCGAAGGAAAUGAUAAAACGGCGCAUGUUGGCGUUUGUUCUCUCCCCCGCCGCGCAGUCCAGGUUUAAAGACGCAUCUGGGUGUGUGAUGUGUGCCAUGGUUCUGUGGCGAGGAGCAAAUUGGCCACGACCUGCUGCGUUCCAGCCACAUCCACCUUAUAUCCCUGUUCAUUACUUGUCUAAUUCAAAGUGCUACUGAUACACGCAAACCCACAUGCACUUAUACACAUGCAGCUAUAUGUACCGAGACCAAAAGAUGCCCUUUCAGAUUUUGUGUUUGUUUUUGUGCAUGUGCCUAUAUGUGUGUGUGUGUGUGUG